rnacentral:rRNA from 1 species
CCUACGGGCGGCUGCAGUGGGGAAUAUUGGACAAUGGGGGGAACCCUGAUCCAGCCAUGCCGCGUGUGUGAAGAAGGCCCUCGGGUUGUAAAGCACUUUCAGUGAGGAAGAACGCCUGGUGGUUAAUACCCAUCAGGAAAGACAUCACUCACAGAAGAAGCACCGGCUAACUCCGUGCCAGCAGCCGCGGUAAUACGGAGGGUGCGAGCGUUAAUCGGAAUUACUGGGCGUAAAGCGCGCGUAGGUGGCUUGAUAAGCCGGUUGUGAAAGCCCCGGGCUCAACCUGGGAACGGCAUCCGGAACUGUCAAGCUAGAGUGCAGGAGAGGAAGGUAGAAUUCCCGGUGUAGCGGUGAAAUGCGUAGAGAUCGGGAGGAAUACCAGUGGCGAAGGCGGCCUUCUGGACUGACACUGACACUGAGGUGCGAAAGCGUGGGUAGCCAACAGGAUUAGAUACCCCGGUAGUC